rnacentral:rRNA from 2 species
UUCGCAAUGCCCGAAAGGGUGACGAAGCGACGCCGCGUGGGUGAGGAAGGCCUUCGGGUUGUAAAGCCCUGUCAGGAGUUAAGAAAUGUAAGUGUGCUAAUAUCGCAUUUACUUGACGAAGGCUCCAAAGGAAGUCACGGCUAACUCUGUGCCAGCAGCCGCGGUAAUACAGAGGUGGCAAGCGUUGUUCGGAAUUAUUGGGCGUAAGGAGCACGUAGGUGGGUUUGUAAGUCAGAUGUGAAAGCCUCCUGUUCAACGGGAGAAUUGCAUCUGAAACUACUGAUCUUGAGUAUAGGAGGGGAGAAUGGAACUUCUGGUGGAGCGGUGAAAUGCGUAGAUAUCAGAAGGAACGCCGGCGGCGAAAGCGAUUCUCUGGCCUAUUACUGACACUCAGUGCGCGAAAGCUAGGGGAGCAAACGGGAUUAGAUACCCCGGUAGUCCUAGCCGUAAACGAUGGGCACUAAGUAGAGGGGUUUU